ensembl:lncRNA
CUUAUUUGCAAAACAAAAGAGACCCUGACACUCUGGAGCAUCGCACUUUGGCACUUCAGCUGGUUUUCUGUGUGGGUGCAGAAGUCACUGUUGGUAACAGAUACCCUCAGAUUAACAAGGUGGAAAUUACACUUCACAUCCUCACUACCUUCAACCUUUACUCCUGCCCUGACCCCUACAAGCUCCCCACCCCACCUCCUCCAGAGCCACCCAAAGAACAUUCUUUGAUUGUCCUAGAGAAAGUGAGACUUGGCACCGACUGAGGGACCAUGUGUGUGAGCAGAGGCCCCUGCCUGCCUCCAUUCUCACCUCCUCACGUGCUGGCUUGGGGACCUGAGAUGAGCGGAGCAUUGGGCCUGACUGGCCAGAAAAUCUCUGGGGACAAGAGACAUGGGCCACCCAAGGACAAAGGGUGCCCUGUGAGGACUGCUUGGGGCUCCGUGAAGUGAGAAGAGGGUGCAUGCGUGCUCAGUCGUAUCUGACUGUUGGAGACCCCACAGACUGUAGCCCACCAGGCUCUUCUGUCCAUGGGAUUCUCCAGGCAAGAAUACUGGAGUGGGUUGCCAUGCCCUCCUCCAGGGGAUCUUCCUGACCCAGGGAUCGACCCGGUGUCUCCUGCAUCUCCUGCACUGCAGGCAGAUUCUUUCCUGCCGAGCCACUAGGAAAGCCCUGAGGAAGGAUUAAGCCUAAAGGAAAAGAAAAAAAAAAGUCACCUGUAGCUUUACUCUCCAGAGGUAACCACCAUAUAUAAGACAGGAUGGGCAAAUUUGAGAAGGGAGCUUGUGUAAAGGGGCUGUGCAGAGCCACGAGGACCCAAUGUCGUCUCUGAAAUGAGCUCCCCGGAGGCCUUGGGGUGGCGCUGGGGGAGGCGGCAGACGCCAGACUUCAGGCUGGAGCCUGCUAUUGUUCCCACAGACUAACUGGACUCCCUGGAGCCUCUCUUAAGUGAUGGUCAGAGCUGACGUGCUCCUGAGGCUUUGGUCAGUAUUUGUGAAGGGCCAACUAUGGGCAGAGAAGCCCUGGGCAGAUGGGGGAACGUAGGGGAGGUGAGUUAUCAGAAGACCUGGGCUCUUAGUGUAAAUUCGGUGUACGUCUCUCGAGUGUCUCCAUAACACGUCAGUGGGUAGGUCCCAUUUGUCAUGAGUCACUGGUUACCAUGGAAAGUGGAAACAGCCGCUCUGGGCUCAGCCCUUGAGAAAUGAGUGGAGGUGGAAAGGCCAGCCGGCAAGAUCCCAGUCUCUCCUGGAUGCAGGGUCUUCUGCAGCUUGCUCUGCUCUUCUGCAUGGUCAGGCUGGUAGGGGAGGUGGGGUGCGCGGCAGCAUUGCCAAGUGCCCAGUGCUACUCCCAGGACAGGAGUGCUGGCUCCUCUGGGGCUCGAGUCACCUCCUGUCCUGGCUACAGUCAUACACAUUCCUCCCCCUCCUUGUUCAAGAGGCUGGGCCCUCUCUGCUUCCCGUCUCCUCCUCUCCUGCUGUGAUACU